GAUGAAGAACGCAGCGAAAUGCGAUAAGUAAUGUGAAUUGCAGAAUUCAGUGAAUCAUCGAAUCUUUGAACGCACAUUGCGCCCGCCAGUAUUCUGGCGGGCAUGCCUGUUCGAGCGUCAUUUCAACCAUCAAGCCCCCGGGCUUGUGUUGGGGACCUGCGGCUGCCGCAGGCCCUGAAAAGCAGUGGCGGGCUCGCUGUCACACCGAGCGUAGUAGAUUUUAUCUCGCUCAGGGCGUGCUGCGGGUUCCGGCCGUUAAAAAGCCUUUUUUACCCAAGGUUGACCUCGGAUCAGGUAGGAAGACCCGCUGAACUUAAGCAUAUCAAUAAGCGGAGGA
rnacentral:misc_RNA from 1 species